CGUAGGGUGCGAGCGUUGUCCGGAUUUAUUGGGCGUAAAGAGCUCGUAGGCGGCUUGUCGCGUCGACUGUGAAAACCCGCAGCUCAACUGCGGGCCUGCAGUCGAUACGGGCAGGCUAGAGUUCGGUAGGGGAGACUGGAAUUCCUGGUGUAGCGGUGAAAUGCGCAGAUAUCAGGAGGAACACCGAUGGCGAAGGCAGGUCUCUGGGCCGAUACUGACGCUGAGGAGCGAAAGCGUGGGAGCGAACAGGAUU
rnacentral:rRNA from 1 species